rnacentral:rRNA from 2 species
UGGGGGAUAUUGCGCAAUGGGGGAAACCCUGACGCAGCAAUGCCGCGUGAAGGAUGAAGGUUUUCGGAUUGUAAACUUCUUUUGUUAAGGACGAAAUUUGACGGUACUUAACGAAUAAGCUCCGGCUAACUAUGUGCCAGCAGCCGCGGUAAUACAUAGGGAGCAAGCGUUAUCCGGAUUUACUGGGUGUAAAGGGUGCGUAGGCGGCUAAGCAAGUCAGAUGUGAAAUCUAUGGGCUCAACCCAUAGCCUGCAUUUGAAACUGUUUAGCUUGAGUGAGGUAGAGGCAGGCGGAAUUCCCGGUGUAGCGGUGAAAUGCGUAGAGAUCGGGAGGAACACCAGUGGCGAAGGCGGCCUGCUGGGCCUUAACUGACGCUGAGGCACGAAAGCGUGGGUAGCAAACAGG